rnacentral:rRNA from 1 species
GCUGUGAGCUCGAUGAGUAGGGCGGGACACGUGGUAUCCUGUCUGAAUAUGGGGGGACCAUCCUCCAAGGCUAAAUACUCCUGACUGACCGAUAGUGAACCAGUACCGUGAGGGAAAGGCGAAAAGAACCCCGGCGAGGGGAGUGAAAAAGAACCUGAAACCGUGUACGUACAAGCAGUGGGAGCACAGGUUUACCUGUGUGACUGCGUACCUUUUGUAUAAUGGGUCAGCGACUUAUAUUCUGUAG